GAUGAACGCUGGCGGCGUGCCUAAUACAUGCAAGUCGAGCGAGCGGCGGACGGGUGAGUAAUGUCUGGGAAACUGCCUGAUGGAGGGGGAUAACUACUGGAAACGGUAGCUAAUACCGCAUACCAUCAGAUGUGCCCAGAUGGGAUUAGCUAGUUGGUAAGGUAACGGCUUACCAAGGCAACGAUGCCUAGCCGACCUGAGAGGGUGAUCGGCCACACUGGAACUGAGACACGGUCCAGACUCCUACGGGAGGCAGCAGUGGGGAAUAUUGCACAAUGGGCGCAAGCCUGAUGCAGCCAUGCCGCGUGUGUGAAGAAGGCCUUCGGGUUGUAAAGCACUUUCAGCGAGGAGGCGUUACUCGCAGAAGAAGCACCGGCUAACUCCGUGCCAGCAGCCGCGGUAAUAC
rnacentral:rRNA from 1 species